rnacentral:rRNA from 1 species
GUAGGUGGCAAGCGUUGUCCGGAAUUAUUGGGCGUAAAGCGCGCGCAGGUGGUUCUUUAAGUCUGAUGCGAAAGCCCCCGGCUCAACCGGGGAGGGUCAUUGGAAACUGGGGAACUUGAGUGCAGGAGAGGAAAGUGGAAUUCCACGUGUAGCGGUGAAAUGCGUAGAUAUGUGGAGGAACACCAGUGGCGAAGGCGACUUUCUGGCCUGUAACUGACACUGAGGCGCGAAAGCGUGGGGAGCAAACAGGGAUUAGAUACCCUGGUAGUCCACGCCGUAAACGAUGAGUGCUAAGUGUUGGGGGGGUUUCCGCCCCCUCAGUGCUGCAGCUAACGCAUUAAGCACUCCGCCUGGGAGUACGGUCGCAAGACUG